AGGGUUCCUGUCCAACGUUAAUCGGGGCAGGGUGAGUCGACCCCUAAGGCGAGGCCGAAAGGCGUAGUCGAUGGGAAACGGGUUAAUAUUCCCGUACUUGGUGUUACUGCGAAGGGGGGACGGAGAAGGCUAUGUUGGCCGGGCGACGGUUGUCCCGGUUUAAGCGUGUAGGUGUGUGUUCCAGGUAAAUCCGGUUCACUUUAACACUGAGGCGUGACGACGAGGCACUACGGUGCUGAAGCAACAAAUGCCCUGCUUCCAGGAAAAGCCUCUAAGCAUCAGGUAACAUCAAAUCGUACCCCAAACCGACACAGGUGGUCAGGUAGAGAAUACCAAGGCGCUUGAGAGAACUCGGGUGAAGGAACUAGGCAAAAUGGUGCCGUAACUUCGGGAGAAGGCACGCUGACACGUAGGUGAAGUGAUUUACUCAUGGAGCUGAAGUCAGUCGAAGAUACCAGCUGGCUGCAACUGUUUAUUAAAAACACAGCACUGUGCAAACAUGAAAGUGGACGUAUACGGUGUGACGCCUGCCCGGUGCCGGAAGGUUAAUUGAUGGGGUCAGCGCAAGCGAAGCUCCUGAUCGAAGCCCCGGUAAACGGCGGCCGUAACUAUAACGGUCCUAAGGUAGCGAAAUUCCUUGUCGGGUAAGUUCCGACCUGCACGAAUGGCGUAAUGAUGGCCAGGCUGUCUCCACCCGAGACUCAGUGAAAUUGAACUCGCUGUGAAGAUGCAGUGUACCCGCGGCAAGACGGAAAGACCCCGUGAACCUUUACUAUAGCUUGACACUGAACAUUGAGCCUUGAUGUGUAGGAUAGGUGGGAGGCUUUGAAGUGUGGACGCCAGUCUGCAUGGAGCCGACCUUGAAAUACCACCCUUUAAUGUUUGAUGUUCUAACGUGGACCCGUAAUCCGGGUUGCGGACAGUGUCUGGUGGGUAGUUUGACUGGGGCGGUCUCCUCCUAAAGAGUAACGGAGGAGCACGAAGGUUGGCUAAUCCUGGUCGGACAUCAGGAGGUUAGUGCAAUGGCAUAAGCCAGCUUGACUGCGAGCGUGACGGCGCGAGCAGGUGCGAAAGCAGGUCAUAGUGAUCCGGUGGUUCUGAAUGGAAGGGCCAUCGCUCAACGGAUAAAAGGUACUCCGGGGAUAACAGGCUGAUACCGCCCAAGAGUUCAUAUCGACGGCGGUGUUUGGCACCUCGAUGUCGGCUCAUCACAUCCUGGGGCUGAAGUAGGUCCCAAGGGUAUGGCUGUUCGCCAUUUAAAGUGGUACGCGAGCUGGGUUUAGAACGUCGUGAGACAGUUCGGUCCCUAUCUGCCGUGGGCGCUGGAGAACUGAGGGGGGCUGCUCCUAGUACGAGAGGACCGGAGUGGACGCAUCACUGGUGUUCGGGUUGUCAUGCCAAUGGCACUGCCCGGUAGCUAAAUGCGGAAGAGAUAAGUGCUGAAAGCAUCUAAGCACGAAACUUGCCCCGA
rnacentral:rRNA from 1 species